rnacentral:lncRNA from 1 species
UGUUAGGAGGAGAGAAAGAGGGGGAGAAAACAACAAUACUGCAAUGAUCCAAAUGAUACAGUAGAAUUAUAGCAAUUAUAGUUCUACUUGUGGAAGAAAACCUUGCUGAGAUCAAGCAAACAAACUGAAGCCUUGUGAGGAUAACAAGCCUCGCGAUUGACAGCAGGUGCUGGGAAGAGCGGGAGGGCACAAACAGAAAUAUUUGCCUCCCCAACCCCCCUUAACUCCAACCAGUAAAGGUUAACCUUCUCAAACGCUGCUUUCAGUCUUAUUCUCUUCCAGCUAUGACAUUUUAUGCACAAAUCCUGGUUUCUCCUCCUGGAAGUCUGGUAAUAGAAGGAAAUGUGACAUAAUCCGCUUGCCUAGAACUUGCCCUCACCGUCUCUGCCCCCCAGUUUACUCUUCACUUCCUACCCUUGCCUCACUUCUCCCCAGGCUGCUGAGAUCCGUCUGUGGACCGGGUUUGUUGAUGUGCUUUCAAAGGAGCCGCCCGGGAGAAGUGCAAACGGGUAACUUGGAUUUCCUGGGAAGACUACAUCGCGUUUGCUUCCCCCUUGCCUGUGUCCUCUGCCUAAGCUGUGCUUUUCUCUUAUUAGGGCUCAGCAGGGAGAGGGUCUUUUCCCCCUUCUGUUUUGGAAGGAUCGCAUUGGAUCUCAGCCGAGCCCUCAAGGUCAUCUCUCUGAGAGGCUUUGCAGUGAGUGGAGUUGUGAUUUGGCCUCUGUCACACUGAUGUGGGAGGCAUCCAGGCCCCAGUGUCUUGCAAAGUCCUGGCGGGCAUCCUGAAUGGCAGAAGCUUAUGUACAACUUCAGGAAAGAAAACAUUUUGGAAAUGUUCCUGCCUCCAGGUUCCUGCCUUAAGAUCUUGCCCUGACCUCCCUCAGUGAAGAACUAUUAUCGGUAAUGUAAGAUGAAAUAAGUCCCCCUCCCCAAAUUGGCUUAGUGAAUGCUUUAUCAGAGAAACAGAAGGCAAGUAAAACGGGCUGUAUGGAGAGCUGGUGUGAGAAUUAUUACAUUAGCAUACGUUCCCUCUGCUUUCCUUUAAUGUCUAAGUGUUUUUUUUUAUCAUGAAUUUUGUGUAAUGAUGACACUCUUACUUUUACAGGAUUUCUCUUAAAGGGAGGUGAGACAAAGGCUGCUAAUUACUUCCAAAUGCCUGUUCUUCUGGUGCCUUAUUAAAGAGAACUGCAAAUUUUGUGUCAAUCACCAAUCUCCUAGAAAAAGAAAGAAUGUUUCUUUCUAGCCCUGUAACUGCUUUGGUUAGGAUGGACUGGCAAAGGGGCUUUGAGAUGACCUGGGAGAAUCUGUUUUGUGAUUUUAGGCAUUCCACUGGGGAGAUGAGAGUUUGUGAGAAAAAUGAAGAGACAGGUUCCAGAAUCCUAGCCUCUUAGUUCAUUACAACCGAAUGAGAUCCUUAGUGAGACCCGCAGAAGAAACUACCCAGCUGAAUGCACACAACCUGUAGAUCUGGAGGAGAGACGAUGAUUGUUAUUGCUUACUGGCUGAUUUUUGAUUGUUGUAAUUUUAGGAUGUUUUGUAAAGACAGACCUAGUCAAAAAAUUUCCCUAUGUCCUUGAGCAAUUCAACUCUUACAUGAGCACACAGUAGCACAUCUGACAGACCACAUCUCUCCUCUUCCCUUUCUGAAGAGUGGUCACCUUGACUAAACUCCGCAUAAGGACACAUUUGUGUAUGAUGUUCUUAGGUGAUCACCUUAAAAGAGAAGGGCAGGUCCUCUUGUCUUGGUUUCACAGAUUUGAUGUCUGGAUCAGAUAAAAUAGAGCUCUAGCAUCCAUAUUGAACCAUGAAACCAAGAAACAGAUCCUUGAUGUGAUAGAACCAGAGGGUCUUAGAGUUCCUGGUAGCCUCACAGAGCUAUUAAACUCCAGUCCUAAACUGCCAGUUCCUACACAUAUUUAACAGGGAAGGGAAAUGUGCAUCUUUUCUGACUUAAGCUAGUUUUAUUUUCUAGUCUAUGAAGCUGAACCUAAUCCUUCUUUUUUAAAAGAUUUAUUUUAUUUGCAUGAGUACAUUGUACCUGUCUUCAGACACACCAGAAGAGGGCAUCGGAUUCCAUUACAGAUGGUACAGAUGGCUUCGAACCACCCUGUGCUUGCUGGGAAUUGAGCUCAGGACCUCUGGAAGAGCAGAUAAGAGGAGAGGACUUCAAAGAUCUAGAGAAGGGCAAAUCUACAAGAUGGAAGGCACCUGGUCUCUUGAAUGACUACUACACAACAGCCCCCCAUUCCCAUUUUCACUGUACAAGUGAUAAAUGAGAGGUUGUGAUGCUUGGAUGCCAUGUUUGGACAGUCAAUCUUGUUCUGUUGAAUUUCAGCCUCUAGCUUUUGUUGUGAACUUCAGCUCUGGUGAGUGUAUCUUGAGUCAUACUUUCUGUGUACCUAACCUAAGAUUUUGUACUACAUUGCUAACUGUCUAGACAGAUAUUAUGCUCAGACAUAUUUUAAAAGCCUCAGCUAGGCUGUGGUGGCAAAUACCAGCACUCGGGAUGCAGAGGCAGGAGGAUCUCUGUGACUUGGAGGCCAGACUGGCCUACAGAGUGAGUUCCAGGGCAGCUAGGGCUACACAAUGAAAUUUUGUCUUGAAAAACAAAAACCAAACACUUGAACAAACAAAGCCUCUGGAGAGCCACAAAAUCACUUCUAGUUCAAGGUUAGCCAGGUCUGGAUAGUGAGUUCAGGACAGCCAGGGACACAUAGACGCCCUGUCUCAAAACCAAAGCAACAAUAAAACAAAACAAAACAAAAACCAACAGCAAGACAGAAGUCUAAAAAAAUUGGGGGGCUU